rnacentral:rRNA from 1 species
UACGUAGGGGACAAGCGUUGUCCGGAUUUACUGGGCGUAAAGAGCGCGCAGGCGGUCGUUCAAGUCGCGUGUGAAAGCCCCCGGCUCAACUGGGGAGGGUCACUCGAUACUGAUCGACUCGAAGGCAGGAGAGGGAAGUGGAAUUCCCGGUGUAGUGGUGAAAUGCGUAGAUAUCGGGAGGAACACCAGUGGCGAAGGCGACUUCCUGGCCUGUUCUUGACGCUGAGGCGCGAAAGCUAGGGGAGCAAACGGG